GACGAACGCUGGCGGCGUGCUUAACACAUGCAAGUCGAACGACGUGGCGAACGGGUGAGUAACGCGUAAUCCACCUGCCCUUCAGAGGGGGAUAACAUUUGGAAACGACUGCUAAUACCUCAUCCUGUAGGUGGGGAAUGCGUCUGAUUAGCUAGUUGGAGGGGGAACGGCCCACCAAGGCGAUGCUCAGUAGCCGGACGUGAGGGAUGAACAGCCACAUUGUGAAUUGGACACGGCCCAGACUCCUACGGGAGGCAGCAGUGGGGAAUCUUCCGCAAUGGACGAAAGUCUGACGGAGCAACGCCGCGUGAGUGAUGACGGCCUUCGGGUUGUAAAGCUCUGUUAAUCGGGACGCGGUACCGGAAGAGAAAGCAACGGCUAACUACGUGCCAGCAGCCGCGGUAAUAC
rnacentral:rRNA from 1 species